rnacentral:rRNA from 1 species
UACGGAGGGUGCAAGCGUUGUUCGGAAUUACUGGGCGUAAAGCGUGAGGAGGCGGCUUGUUAAGUCUGAUGUGAAAGCCCUGGGCUUAACCCAGGAACUGCAUCGGAAACUAGCAGGCUAGAGUUCGGGAGAGGGUCGUGGAAUUCUUGGUGUAGAGGUGAAAUUCGUAGAUAUCAAGAGGAACACCGGUGGCGAAGGCGGCGACCUGGACCGACACUGACGCUAAUACACGAAAGCGUGGGGAGCAAACAGG